GAUGAACGCUGGCGGCGUGCCUAAUACAUGCAAGUCGAGCGAAGCGGGGACGGGUGAGUAACACGUGGAUAACCUCCUAUAAGACUGGGAUAACUUUGGGAAAACGGAGCUAAACCGGAUAAUUACAGAUGGAGCAGCGCUGCAUUAGCUAGUUGGUAGGGUAACGGCCUACCAAGGCAACGAUGCAUAGCCGACCUGAGAGGGUGAUCAGCCACACUGGAACUGAGACACGGUCCAGACGCCUACGGGAGGCAGCAGUAGGGAAUCUUCCGCAAUGGGCGAAAUCCUGACGGAGCAACGCCGCGUGAUUGAUGAAGGUCUUCUGUUCGUAAACCUCUGUUAUUCGGGAAGCGGUACCUACUCAGAAAGCCACGGCUAACUACGUGCCAGCAGCCGCGGUAAUAC
rnacentral:rRNA from 1 species